CAAACUAGGAGAUGGCGACCGGCGCACGGGUGAGUAACACGUAUCCAACCUGCCGAUAACUCGGGGAUAGCCUUUCGAAAGAAAGAUUAAUAUCCGAUAGCAUAUAUUUCCCGCAUGGGUUUUAUAUUAAAGAAAUUCGGUAUGAGAUGGGGAUGCGUUCCAUUAGUUUGUUGGGGGGGUAACGGCCCACCAAGACUACGAUGGAUAGGGGUUCUGAGAGGAAGGUCCCCCACAUUGGAACUGAGACACGGUCCAA
rnacentral:rRNA from 1 species